GGGGGCGUAGUUCAAUUGGUAGAGCGUCUGACUCCAGAUCAGAAGGUUGCGUGUUCAAGUCACGUCGUCCUCA
rfam:Acanthamoeba castellanii str. Neff unplaced genomic scaffold scf7180000084720, whole genome shotgun sequence.